ACAAGGGGGCAGACCUCAGAGAAAGCCUGGCUGCAUCAAGGCAGAUUCUCUACCAAUGCAAAUCUCCCCAAGACAGCUUUGCAGCUAAGUUUGUAUUUCCAGCCCUUCUCAAUAGCCAUUUUGAAAUAUAUCAAGGAAAUACAUUUAGGGGUAAAAUAUAUUAGUUUCCUUCAUACAGCUAUAAAACAUACAGGAAUACUUUUUGUCAAUAUCUACUACAAAUCCAAUAUAGCAGUAACUAUAAAACCCACCAUAUAUUGAAGAAAAAAUAUGUAGAGUACAUCAAUUACAAAUGUUGAUACUAAAAUCCCAAAUAAAAUAAAAAUAAUAUCCAACAAUAUUUGAAACAGUAAGACAAGAAAUUACCAAAAAAUAAAUAAAACAAAUAUCCACCUUGGGGAUGAAAGUGUGUUUCCAAAUUUGGUAAUCCAAUAAUAUUAAUAAUCAUAUUGAUUAGCCCAAAUUAAUAAUAAAUAGGGGAUUCUCAGAACAUGCCAAAAUAUAUUUGUUAAAAGGCAAUAUUCAUGUCUUUAAAGAUUUUAAAUGCUAUAAAGAGUCUGAUAUUCGAUAUGCACACAUGUGUAUGUCCAUUAGAAGAAGAGAGGCCUGAUUUUCAUAUGUUACUGCAUAGAGAUAGAGAAGUGGAUAGAUUAAUUUGUAUAUUCAUAGAGAAAGCAAAAAAUAGAAGCUUCCAUUGGAUGAUGAUUCCAAUUGAGACCAUUCGAUGAUUUUAUUGGAUUUUAUUUGAUGAUGAUUCCAUUUGAUUCCGUUUGAUGAUUCCAUUCUAUUCCAUUCAAUGAUGAUUACAUUUGAGUCUAUUCGAUGAUUGCAUUCGACUCCAUGUAAUGAUUCCAUUAGGUUCAAUUCAAUGAUGAUUACAUUGGAUUCCAUUCAAUGAUCCUUGUGAUUCCAUUCGGUGAUUAUUCCAUUUGAUUCCUGUCAAUGACGAUUCCAUUUGAUUCCAUUCUUUGAUGAUUCCAUUUGAUUCCAUUCGAUGAUGAUUCGAUUUGAUUCCAUUCGAUGAUGAUUCCAUUCGAUUCCAUUCGAUGAUGAUUCCAUUCGAUUUCAUUUGAUGAUUCUCUUCGAUUCCAUUCAAUGUUGAUUCAAUUCUAUUCCAUUCGAGGAUUCCAUUCAAUUCCAUCUGAUGAUGAUUCCAAUCGAUUCCAUUCGAUGAUGAUUCCCUUUGAUUGCAUUCGAUGAUUAUUCCAUUCGAGUGCAUUCGAAGACAACAUUCGAUUCCAUUCUAUCAUAAUUCCACUCGAGUCCAUUCGAAGAUUAGAUUCGAUUCCAUUCAAUGAUGAUUCCGUUCAAAUCCAUUCAAUGAU
rnacentral:lncRNA from 10 species